rnacentral:rRNA from 2 species
UUGGACCUGAUAUCAAACAAGACUACCCGCUGAACUUA